ensembl:ncRNA C34H3.9 ncRNA
GUCGCAAAAAUAGCGGAACGAGCAAAUACGAUUUGAAAAGAGGGAAAAAUGAUGAUACCGUUGGGCAAUGUAAGAGAGCAGAAUUCAGAAGAAGGAGCGAUAGUUAUUGUUUGCUCCUUUUCAAGAGAAGUUGUCACUUUG